UACGGGGCAAGCGUUGUUCGGAAUUACUGGGCGUAAAGGGCUCGUAGGUGGCCAACUAAGUCAUACGUGAAAUCCCUCAGCUUAACUGGGGAACUGCGUCUGAUACUGGAUGGCUUGAGUUUGGGAGAGGGAUGCGGAAUUCCAGGUGUAGCGGUGAAAUGCGUAGAUAUCUGGAGGAACACCGGUGGCGAAGGCGGCAUCCUGGACCAAUACUGACACUGAGGAGCGAAAGCCAGGGAGCAAACGGG
rnacentral:rRNA from 1 species